UGUGCACCCGACACGUGGCACAAUAACUUGUCCCAAAACUCGAGGCAUGAAGGAAACGACAACUAAGUCCAGACUGGAGAAGUAAAUUAUACAAAGCUGUAGGUAACCCAAAAAAACGGAAUAAAACAUCCAUAAACUCGAACAACUCUCUACAAACCAUAACUCAUUUACAUAUAUAACUGUCAAUAUACAACUCUGCAUUACUUCUCCAAAUACGUACUAGGAAUAUGUACAUGUGCCAAUACAGCAAGAGAGAUAUAAACAUGUUGAGCGCUCAUACAAAAAAUAUCAUCUCUCCCAACAAAAGAUCAAAAUGGUAAUACACCAACAGACCGACCAUAUUAUCUACACCAUCAUCACCAUCAAACUAAAGAACGCUAGUGCUGCUCUUGAUCAUCACCAUCAAAAUCCUGAAGCUCAACAUCUACGUUCCGAGACCAAAGAACGUACCCAAGCGUGCAAAAACAACACAACUUGGGUCAGCACAAAGCUGGAAUGAGUAUUAUGCCACUAAAGAAAACAGUAAUUCAUGGUCUCUUAACAUACAUGGCAGGACUGUAGUUCCUCACAACCAGGCAAUUUAGUUUCCCAUCAUGUAUCACAUAUCCCAAAUAAAUCAAUAAUGUAAAUUAAAACUAAAUUUACCAUCACCUCUGCGAUUUGGUAGGGUAGGCAUCACCCUGCAAGAAAUUAUUAAGAGCCUACCCUCCUGCAAAAGCUACCGUAAUAUAUACAGGGAUAAAGAAUAUAUUAACCAACUCCACGUAAAUCAAGAGAUUCCAUAAACUUAUCUAAUAUCAACAAACAAGAAUUUAAACUUUAACAUGAAAGCACGCAAAUAAGCACAACCAUAGUAUCACAGAACCCAUGCCUAGCCAGACUCCACGAAAGCCGCUCCUACACACAUUGCCGACUUACCCAGAUAUCCCUGGGCCCCUCACAUAUACCCAACGACCACUUCAGGCUAGUAGACUCAUCAAUGGGAUAUCAAAGCAAAGUCUAAAACCCCUGAAAGGUUGUAAUAUAUGCGUGCGCGCUAUAUGCUCCUACGCCGGCCUAUCCGGAAUGUCGAAGGAGCCACAAGUCCGCGCCGGUCUUUCUGGAUAUUCGAGGACCAAAGGAUAAGAACCACCCUAUCCGAACUUUAUGGAAUCAAGGGUCAACUGAUCGUUUACCAUAGAGGUUUUCCCUAAGGGUUUUAAAACUGGUUUUAUCAUUUGAAAACCUUUUAUUUCUCUAAGUUGAUUUUCCGGUCGUGGCAGGCUAGGAUAGAUCAAGUGACACCCACAAAGCAUAUUCACAACAUGUUAUAGCACACAUAACACAACCACUGCAGGUAUAGGCUUCACAUAAUCCAUAAUCACGGACUAAUUACUAUAAUUAAGCUAAUAACGCAACCAGAAAAAAAACUACUGAAAGUAACAAUAUUCGGACGACAAUUUCAUUAUAAAAACACAACCUGGGUGAGUGCACUGUGAACAACGUUUAAAGAUGCAAUAAUCUAUUUUAUACUACAAUUGGAAUCAAUUAAAAAGGUAUUAUAUCCAGGGAGUUAUGAAUUUUCAAACAUCAACAGUUCAGAAACAUUUCAGUUAUCCUCGUCAGACUUGCGUCUCAUUUUACUCUAUGUUCCAUGUAUAAUUUUCAGCAACGCAUACAAGACCAAGUGUAGGUCUAAGAAUCUAGUUUGUACAACAACUUAAAUCACUAAAAACACAUUUCACAUGAGCAUUUUAUGCGAAAAAUAGCAACACCAUACAAAUCUGCCAGCAAUAGAGCCUAAACCUGGAGUACUAACACCAAGUACUCCUAACAGCUCAAAUCGAUCUCCGCCCCUCUCAAGUCAGGCAAAAGACCUUGAAAUAUCGCAAUUCAAAACAAAUAUGGGGGUUUAUAGAAACCCCCCACAUUAUUAACAAAAACAACCUAUCUAUAGCACUCACCGGAUAAACACCAAUACUUUGAAUACUCCUCUUCCUUGCUGCUGCUCCUCUUCCUUCCUUCAAUUUCUUUUUUCAAUUCUUCCACCCAACAGUUCAGACAACUCACUCCUUCUUUUUAGCUUUCUUUUUUUCAUUUUCCUUUCACACUCACAUAAACCAGAUAUAUUGGGUUGAAGAGUCGGUUCAGCAAA
rnacentral:lncRNA from 1 species